AUUGAACGCUGGCGGCAGGCCUAACACAUGCAAGUCGGGCGAGUGGCGGACGGGUGAGUAAUGUCUGGGGAACUGCCUGAUGGAGGGGGAUAACUACUGGAAACGGUAGCUAAUACCGCAUACCAUCAGCUGGACCCAGAUGGGAUUAGCUUGUGGGUGGGGUAACGGCUCACCUAGGCGACGAUCCCUCGCUGGUCUGAGAGGAUGAUCAGCCACACUGGAACUGAGACACGGCCCAGACUCCUACGGGAGGCAGCAGUGGGGAAUAUUGCACAAUGGGCGCAAGCCUGAUGCAGCCAUGCCGCGUGUAUGAAGAAGGCCUUCGGGUUGUAAAGUACUUUCAGUCGGGAGGCGUUACCGACAGAAGAAGCACCGGCUAACUCCGUGCCAGCAGCCGCGGUAAUAC
rnacentral:rRNA from 1 species